AGCGAACGCUGGCGGCAGGCCUAACACAUGCAAGUCGAACGGACCCUUCGGGGUUAGUGGCGGACGGGUGAGUAACACGUGGGAACGUGCCUUUAGGUUCGGAAUAGCUCCUGGAAACGGGUGGUAAUGCCGAAUGUGCCCUUCGGGGGAAAGACUUAUCGCCUUUAGAGCGGCCCGCGUCUGAUUAGCUAGUUGGUGAGGUAAUGGCUCACCAAGGCGACGAUCAGUAGCUGGUCUGAGAGGAUGACCAGCCACAUUGGGACUGAGACACGGCCCAAACUCCUACGGGAGGCAGCAGUGGGGAAUCUUGCGCAAUGGGCGAAAGCCUGACGCAGCCAUGCCGCGUGGAUGAUGAAGGUCUUAGGAUUGUAAAAUCCUUUCGCCGGUGAAGAUAAUGACUGUAGCCGGAGAAGAAGCCCCGGCUAACUUCGUGCCAGCCGCCGCCGUAACAC
rnacentral:rRNA from 1 species